CAGUCGCCACGGGAAUACGUAGGUGGCAAGCGUUGUCCGGAAUUAUUGGGCGUAAUGGGCUCGCAGGCGGUUUCUUAAGUCUGAUGUGAAAGCCCCCGGCUCAACCGGGGAGGGUCAUUGGAAACUGGGAAACUUGAGUGCGGAAGAGGAGAGUGGAAUUCCACGUGUAGCGGUGAAAUGCGUAGAGAUGUGGAGGAACACCAGUGGCGAAGGCGACUCUCUGGUCUGUAACUGACGCUGAGGAGCGAAAGCGUGGGGAGCGAACAGGAUUAGAUACCCGCGUAGUCCCUGUCUCUUAUAC
rnacentral:rRNA from 1 species